CCGACUGAAAUUUGAACUUUAGAUAAACAACGAAGUCUUUUUUUAGUGUAAGUAUGUCCCAUGCAGUAUUUAGGACAUACUUAUGCUAAAACAUUAUUCGUUGCUUAUCUGAAAUUCAAAUUUAACUGGGCAUCUUUUA
rnacentral:miRNA from 1 species